rnacentral:rRNA from 1 species
CUGGCUCAGAACGAACGCUGGCGGCAGGUCUUAGGCAUGCAAGUCGAACGGAUGACAAGGGAGCUUGCUUCCUUGAAGUCAGUGGCGCACGAGUGAGUAACGCGUGGGAAACUGCCCUUCACUGGGGAAUAACGUUUGGAAACGAACGCUAAUACCGCAUACGCCCGCAAGGGGAAAGAUUUAUCGGUGAUGGAUGUGCCCGCGUUGGAUUAGCUAGUUGGUGGGGUAAUGGCCUACCAAGGCGAUGAUCCAUAGCUGGUCUGAGAGGACGAUCAGCCACGCUGGAACUGAGACACGGUCCAGACUCCUACGGGAGGCAGCAGCUAAGAAUAUUGGGCAAUGGAGGAAACUCUGACCCAGCCAAUGCCGCGUGAAUGAAGAAGGCCUUCGGGUUGUAAAGUUCUUUUAGUCAUGAAGAUGAUGACAGUAGUGACAGAAAAAGCACCGGCUAACUUCGUGCCAGCAGCAGC